UCUUUACUCAUCAGUUUUAUAACGGAGCUGCACUGAAGUCUGGCUUUAAAAGCUUCCUCUACAGAUCAGAAGAGGUUUUAUAUGGAAAGUUUAUGAUCAGAAUGAUCUAAAAGCUAAAUUCUAUCCUCUGUUCCAGAUCUAAAAGUACAGGAGUUUAGAAGCUGAGGACUAAAAGCUCAUGGACUGAUACAGCUCUGCUCACAGCAGGAGCAGUCCUACAGGAUGGAAGGUGAUCCACAAGUGUUGGAGGAUGAUCUAGAACAAAAAGAUCAAACCAGUCCUGUCCAGACCACCACAACCCAGAACCCCACAGCUCCCAGUGAACUGGUUCAGAACACCACAGCUCAGACUGGAGGGAAUGUCAUUGCACCUGUUCUACAUGGAAAUGUGUUUAAUGGCCCAGUUCAUAUUCACACUGUAGCUGAAUCUCAGCAU